rnacentral:rRNA from 1 species
AUACGGAGGGUGCGAGCGUUAAUCGGAAUUACUGGGCGUAAAGCGCACGUAGGCGGCGCACGCAGUCAGAGGUGAAAGGCCUGGGCUCAACCCAGGAACUGCCUUUGAUACUGGUGUGCUAGAGUCCGGGAGAGGGUAGCGGAAUUCCCAGUGUAGAGGUGAAAUUCGUAGAUAUUGGGAAGAACACCGGUUGCGAAGGCGGCUACCUGGAACGGUACUGACGCUGAGGUGCGAAAGCGUGGGGAGCAAACAGGAUUAGAAACCCCAGUAGUCC